GAUGAACGCUGGCGGCGUGCCUAAUACAUGCAAGUCGAGCGAACGGACGAGAAGCUUGCUUCUCUGAUGUUAGCGGCGGACGGGUGAGUAACACGUGGAUAACCUACCUAUAAGACUGGGAUAACUUCGGGAAACCGGAGCUAAUACCGGAUAAUAUUUUGAACCGCAUGGUUCAAAAGUGAAAGACGGUCUUGCUGUCACUUAUAGAUGGAUCCGCGCUGCAUUAGCUAGUUGGUAAGGUAACGGCUUACCAAGGCAACGAUGCAUAGCCGACCAGAGAGGGUGAUCGGCCACACUGGAACUGAGACACGGUCCAGACUCCUACGGGAGGCAGCAGUAGGGAAUCUUCCGCAAUGGGCGAAAGCCUGACGGAGCAACGCCGCGUGAGUGAUGAAGGUCUUCGGAUCGUAAAACUCUGUUAUUAGGGAAGAACAUAUGUGUAAGUAACUGUGCACAUCUUGACGGUACCUAAUCAGAAAGCCACGGCUAACUACGUGC
rnacentral:rRNA from 1 species